rnacentral:rRNA from 1 species
CAGCCGCCGCGGUAAUACGGAGGGUGCAAGCGUUAAUCGGAAUUACUGGGCGUAAAGCGUGCGUAGGCGGUUCGUUAAGUCUGUUGUGAAAGCCCCGGGCUCAACCUGGGAAUGGCAAUGGAUACUGGCGAGCUAGAGUGUGUCAGAGGAUGGUGGAAUUCCCGGUGUAGCGGUGAAAUGCGUAGAGAUCGGGAGGAACAUCAGUGGCGAAGGCGGCCAUCUGGGACAACACUGACGCUGAGGCACGAAAGCGUGGGGAGCAAACAGGAUUAGAUACCCGAGUAGUCCCUGUCUCUUAUAA